GCAACUCGCCUACAUGAAGUCGGAGUUGCUAGUAAUCGCGGAUCAGAAUGCCGCGGUGAAUGCGUUCCCGGGGUCUUGUACACACCGCCCGUCACACCAUGGGAGUCGGAUAUGCCCGAAGCCGGUGACCUAACCGCAAGGAAGGAGCCGUCGAAGGUGGAGCCGAUGACUGGGGUGAAGUCGUAACAAGGUAGC
rnacentral:rRNA from 1 species